UACGAAGGGGGCUAGCGUUGCUCGGAAUCACUGGGCGUAAAGGGUGCGUAGGCGGGUCUUUUAAGUCAGGGGUGAAAUCCUGGAGCUCAACUCCAGAACUGCCUUUGAUACUGGCGAGCUUGAGUCCGGGAGAGGUGAGUGGAACUGCGAGUGUAGAGGUGAAAUUCGUAGAUAUUCGCAAGAACACCAGUGGCGAAGGCGGCUCACUGGCCCGGUACUGACGCUGAGGUGCGAAAGCGUGGGGAGCAAACAGG
rnacentral:rRNA from 1 species